AUUGCCGUUUUUGUGUGUCGUCGUUCUUCAAACUUUCUUCGGUCCGCGAACGCGAGUCAGGGAAGGCCGCCCCGUUGGCCGAGGUGGAGCGACGUUGCACGGCGAGGCUUCCUCUUUCUUGCGCCCACAAAGGAGGAGGAUGUCAAACAGGAAGUUGACUUCGGCGAGUCCUCCUGUCGCCCUCCGGAGCAUUGUGUUGGGACAACACACAGGAAAUACACCACGCGCAUCCGCCCCCCCCCCCUUUAUCCAGCAGAACGCACCGGCAGCCAGGCUCAGCGCGAUGUAGCAACCAGCGCAAUCAUCAAUGGGCCGCGGCUCAGCCGACAUAACACCACAGUGUUCUUUUUAUGUUAUAUGAAAGGUUCUGGAAAGCAUAAAAUCAAUGAAGAUGCAUUCUAAGUGGAGUGUGUGACACAACAUGCACCAUGGCUCCUCCCACUUGCCGGUGUCACAUGACUACCAUGCAACUGCCCUACUUGUGUCACACGCACAAGAUAGGUAAGACGAGCAGAAAUACAAGGCGUAAACCACAGUACAGUAGACAGACCAAAAGACAGACAGGCAGGCAGACAGACAUACCGACAGAGCACCCGACAGAAGCUUUGUCGCCCAUCUGCGAAAUAAUUUGAGCAAGAGGCGCUAGCGGGAGGCAGAAGAAAGCCAGUGGCCCAAA